rnacentral:rRNA from 1 species
AACGAACGCUGGCGGCAGGCCUAACACAUGCAAGUCGAGCGAGGACUUCGGUCCUAGCGGCGGACGGGUGAGUAACGCGUGGGAACGUGCCCUUUGGUACGGAAUAGCCCCGGGAAACUGGGAGUAAUACCGUAUGGUGUCUUCGGACUAAAGAUUUAUCGCCAAAGGAUCGGCCCGCGUUGGAUUAGGUAGUUGGUGGGGUAAUGGCCUACCAAGCCGACGAUCCAUAGCUGGUUUGAGAGGAUGAUCAGCCACACUGGGACUGAGACACGGCCCAGACUCCUACGGGAGGCAGCAGUGGGGGAAUCUUAGACAAUGGGGGCGAACCCUGAUCUAGCCAUGCCGCGUGAGUGAUGAAGGCCCUAGGGUUGUAAAGCUCUUUCAGCUGGGAAGAUAAUGACGGUACCAGCAGAAGAAGCCCCGGCUAACUCCGUG